UGAGGAAUAUUGGACAAUGGGUGAGAGCCUGAUCCAGCCAUCCCGCGUGAAGGACGACGGCCCUAUGGGUUGUAAACUUCUUUUGUAUAGGGAUAAACCUACUCUCGUGAGAGUAGCUGAAGGUACUAUACGAAUAAGCACCGGCUAACUCCGUGCCAGCAGCCGCGGUAAUACGGAGGGUGCAAGCGUUAUCCGGAUUUAUUGGGUUUAAAGGGUCCGUAGGCGGAUGUGUAAGUCAGUGGUGAAAUCUCACAGCUUAACUGUGAAACUGCCAUUGAUACUGCAUGUCUUGAGUGUUGUUGAAGUAGCUGGAAUAAGUAGUGUAGCGGUGAAAUGCAUAGAUAUUACUUAGAACACCAAUUGCGAAGGCAGGUUACUAAGCAACAACUGACGCUGAUGGACGAAAGCGUGGGGAGCGAACA
rnacentral:rRNA from 1 species